AACGCUAGCUACAGGCUUAACACAUGCAAGUCGAGGGGAAACGACAUCGAAAGCUUGCUUUUGGUGGGCGUCGACCGGCGCACGGGUGAGUAACGCGUAUCCAACCUGCCCACCACUUGGGGAUAACCUUGCGAAAGUAAGACUAAUACCCAAUGAUAUCCCACGAAGGCAUCCGAAUGGGAUUAAAGAUUUAUCGGUUAUGGAUGGGGAUGCGUCUGAUUAGCUUGUUGGCGGGGUAACGGCCCACCAAGGCAACGAUCAGUAGGGGUUCUGAGAGGAAGGUCCCCCACAUUGGAACUGAGACACGGUCCAAACUCCUACGGGAGGCAGCAGUGAGGAAUAUUGGUCAAUGGGCGAGAGCCUGAACCAGCCAAGUAGCGUGCAGGAUGACGGCCCUAUGGGUUGUAAACUGCUUUUAUACAGGAAUAAAGUUAGCCACGUGUGGCUAUUUGUAGGUACUGUAUGAAUAAGGACCGGCUAAUUCCGUGCCAGCAGCCGCGGUAAUACGGAAGGUCCAGGCGUUAUCCGGAUUUAUUGGGUUUAAAGGGAGCGUAGGCCGUCUGUUAAGCGUGUUGUGAAAUGUAGAUGCUCAACAUCUGAAUUGCAGCGCGAACUGGCAGACUUGAGUGUGCGCAACGUAGGCGGAAUUCGUGGUGUAGCGGUGAAAUGCUUAGAUAUCACGAAGAACUCCGAUUG
rnacentral:rRNA from 1 species